rnacentral:lncRNA from 1 species
AAGGGGAUGCGUCAAGGCGAGGUGCGUCGAGGCGGCUGCGCAUCCUCCACACCCUCCUCCUCCUCUUCGGCCUCCACCCUGAGCGCCCUUCUCCCACCCAAUGCUUUGGGAACCCCAGGAGCAUGGCCCUGGCACCCCAGGACCUACCCGAGAGGAAAGGGUUGCGCGUUUUGGCUGCCUGCGGCGGCGCGACCAAGGAGUCCAGGUUGACCAGGGAGGAGGCGGCGGGGCCGAGGAAGGCCUCGGGGGUUUUACAGUCCUUCCGCUCCUUGCAGGACUCGGCCAGGGAGUCUGCCAGGUUGGUGAGGUCGAAGCUCUUUGCCCCGUCCUGCUUGGUGCUGGGGAACAGGUCGCCGAAGGGGUCCAGCUCUGGGGCAGGGGAGACGAGAUGCAUGAGCCACCCGUGGGAUGCCGACAGCGAUGUGAUGUCCUGCCCUCAUCACCCCCCGGGGCAUUUCGGGGCACAUCUUGCCAGAUUGCAGCAGGGCUGAGGCUGCGGCACCACGGGAGGCAGCAGGGAUCAGGGACGGGGGUGCCCACAGGGACCGGGGCUACCCCCUGGGCUGCGGGGCACCCGAAGGCCACGGCACGGGUGGCUGCACGUGGGGACGAGCUUUGGGCACGCCAGCAAGGAGCCAUGCACGGAUGCAGGAGCAGCUCCUGGCUGGCCACGGAGCAGCCUCCUGGCUGGAGGCAGGGGUGGAGGAACGCCCCCACCAGCCCAAAUCGGCCCCUGCCCGUGUCCCCAGCGCUUACCCGCGGGGCUGCUGGACUUGGCCGAGGAGGGCGGCUGCGAAUGCUCCGGCUCUGGCUGCUCAGCCGCCUCGGGAGGUUUUGCAAACAGGUCGAAAGCGUCCCCCCCUGCAGCUGGGGGGAAGAGGUGAGACUCCAGGAGGGGGGCGAGCAGGAAGGCGAGGGGUGGGAGACGUGCGGGCGUGCAACGGGGGCUGCGGGGAUGGGGUCAGCAGCGCCCACCAGCCCACGGGGACUGGGAUGGGCACAGCAGGAGCUCGGUCCCGCGCAGGCAGUGCCAGCCAAGGCAGCGGGGACAGGGCCACCGGGAUGGAAACAGCACGAGGAGGCCGUUUUAACAACCAGUGUUUGCACCCACGGCUGGUUCUGCUCUCGCCCCCUCGGGGACCAAAAGUCAGGGCAACUCCCU